rnacentral:tRNA from 1 species
GCGAGGAUGGCGGAAUUGGCAGACGCGCUAGACUUAGGAUCUAGUGGAGCAAUCCGUGGGGGUUCGAGUCCCCCUCCUCGCA